CAGUUUCUGUAGGGGUUCUUGAGGCAGCAGGAAGAGUGAAUACAGCUGCCUACUCUUCCUCAAACUACUUUCCUGGGGCCAAAAGUUUCAUUCAGGAAGUGAAAGAAAGAAGUUUGAUGUUCUGGUGAUUUUGUAUUACAAUCCACAGUCCUGGUGCCUGCUUUUAAAAUGAAGUUUUAUCAGUACACAGCUGCACUCAUUCAUUGAUGUACUGUCCAUAGAUGCCUUCAGGCUACAAGGUAGAGCUGAAUAGAGAGGACUCCAAGGACAUACAGGAGGGAGACAUGGCGAGAUGGAAGGGGCCUGGGUUCCUGAAUGUGAAUGUGGAGCAGAUCUCCUAGCCCCACACUUGCCAUCACCAGCCCAUAUUGCACUGUGAUGAGAUCUUUUGUGCCACUCUUACCAUCACCCCACACUGGACUGUGAUGAAAACAAGCAAACAUUUAUUGUAAGUCACUGAGUUUUGGGGUUGUCUGUGAUAACAGUGAGUCUAGCCUGACGAAUGUACUGGCUGUCAUUCUUCUGUGUAGCAUUGUUAAUUUUUAGUCAUCAUCUUCACAAAUGCAAUCACUUUCAUGACAUUAUAUUUUGCUGUAUUGUAGGAAAUAGAUGAUAUGCUAUAAAGGUGUUUAGAAAUGUGAAGAUGUGUGGGCAUAUUCAUUGAAAAUAAAAAGGCUCUUAU